rnacentral:rRNA from 1 species
GGGUCAGUAGGUUGGUCGUGCCCCCGGUACGUGCUGGUCUCACUGAUUCCUCCUUCCUGAAGAACCGUAAUGCCAUUAAUUUGGUGUUGCGGGGAAACAGGACUGUUACUUGGAAAAAAUUAGAGUGUUUAAGGCAAGCUAACGCUUGAAUACAUUAGCAUGGAAUAAUGAAAUAGGACGAUCGAUCCUAUUUUGUUGGUUUCUAGGAUUGACGUA